AGUGAACGCUGGCGGUAGGCCUAACACAUGCAAGUCGAACGGCAGCGCAGUAAGAGCUUGCUCUUACGGGUGGCGAGUGGCGGACGGGUGAGGAAUACAUCGGAAUCUACUUUUUCGUGGGGGAUAACGUAGGGAAACUUACGCUAAUACCGCAUACGACCUACGGGUGAAAGCAGGGGAUCUUCGGACCUUGCGCGAUUGAAUGAGCCGAUGUCGGAUUAGCUAGUUGGCGGGGUAAAGGCCCACCAAGGCGACGAUCCGUAGCUGGUCUGAGAGGAUGAUCAGCCACACUGGAACUGAGACACGGUCCAGACUCCUACGGGAGGCAGCAGUGGGGAAUAUUGGACAAUGGGCGCAAGCCUGAUCCAGCCAUACCGCGUGGGUGAAGAAGGCCUUCGGGUUGUAAAGCCCUUUUGUUGGGAAAGAAAAGCAGCAGGUUAAUACCCCGCUGUUCUGACGGUACCCAAAGAUUAAGCACCGGCUAACUUCGUG
rnacentral:rRNA from 1 species